rnacentral:lncRNA from 1 species
GUCGGUGGUCUCCGGGUGGAAGAUCGAGGGCAGCCCGAGGCGGCUCAUGGCACAGCGCCAGUGGUUGAUGUUAUCUGUGUGCCGGAAGUGCAGCCCACUCAUCCUGUAGCGCGUCUGCUGAGGGUCGUAGAUCCUCGCGGGGGGGACGGCGUCAGGGGCGAAGCGGUGUCCCAGCCUGGCCAGCAGCACGCCAUUGCGCAGGUUCUCCUCCAGCUCCGUGGGGGGGGGCAGCUCCUCACCCAGGCAGGCCUCCAUCCAGCGCUUGGCCUCCUCCAGGCGGCACAGGUAUUGGUAGGCGACGUUCUGCCGCCGCUGCUCGUCCAUCUGCUCCGCGCUGGGCCGCUCCCAUUGCAGCCGCUCCGCUCCGUCCAUGGCCGC